AUAUGAAUUCUUUUUGAAAUUGUCAACAUGGAAGAGUCUACAGUCUGUUUUUAAUUUAGCAGCAAAAUGACUUAGUUGAUGCAACAAUUUCACAUGCUGAGGAAGAGUUUUCGAUUGCCGAAUUAGUGUGAUAAAGUAAUGGUGAGGUUUUCUGUUGACUCUGGAAGCAACAACAAAAAUGGUGGUGCUCUUCUCCAUACUCAUGUUCAUAGAUAUAUCGUCACAGAUGACACUCAAGGCUGACUGCUUGAAACACAUGUAGCCCCAGGAAACAAGUAGAGCCACCCCAGGGAACUAAAAAACAAGUUUUACAUAUGAUAUUCUUCAUAUGUGAAGCUGUGAAUCCACCGUCCCAGGGCUUGAAUUUUUCUUCAUUGGUCAUGAUGG
rnacentral:lncRNA from 1 species